AUUGAACGCUGGCGGCAGGCCUAACACAUGCAAGUCGAGCGGAGCGGCGGACGGGUGAGUAAUGCCUAGGAAUCUGCCUGGUAGUGUGGGAUAACGUCCGGAAACGGGCGCUACUACCGCAUACUAUCAGAUGAGCCUAGGUCGGAUUAGCUAGUUGGUGGGGUAAAGGCCUACCAAGGCGACGAUACGGAACUGGUCUGAGAGGAUGACCAGCCACACUGGAACUGAGACACAGUCCAGACUCCGACGGGAGGCAGCAGUGGGGAAUAUUGCACAAGGGGCGCAAGCCUGAUGCAGCCAUGCCGCGUGUAUGAAGAAGGCCUUCGGGUUGUAAAGUACUUUCAGCGGGGAGGCGUUACCCGCAGAAGAAGCACCGGCUAACUCCGUGCCAGCAGCCGCGGUAAUUC
rnacentral:rRNA from 1 species